rnacentral:rRNA from 1 species
ACUCCUGCGGGAGGCAGCAGUGGGGAAUAUUGGACAAUGGGCGCAAGCCUGAUCCAGCCAUGCCGCGUGAGUGAUGAAGGCCCUAGGGUUGUAAAGCUCUUUCACCGGAGAAGAUAAUGACGGUAUCCGGAGAAGAAGCCCCGGCUAACUUCGUGCCAGCAGCCGCGGUAAUACGAAGGGGGCUAGCGUUGUUCGGAAUUACUGGGCGUAAAGCGCACGUAGGCGGAUCGAUCAGUCAGGGGUGAAAUCCCAGGGCUCAACCCUGGAACUGCCUUUGAUACUGUCGAUCUGGAGUAUGGAAGAGGUGAGUGGAAUUCCGAGUGUAGAGGUGAAAUUCGUAGAUAUUCGGAGGAACACCAGUGGCGAAGGCGGCUCACUGGUCCAUUACUGACGCUGAGGUGCGAAAGCGUGGGGAGCAAACAGGAUUAGAAACCCUGGUAGUCCCA